UCCCUCUCAGGGUCACACUUGGAGAGUUUCCAGUACUCUACCAGUCUCGGCUAUGGGAGGGAGAGUCAAGCAGAGGCCUAUCCCUUCCAUUCCCAGCUUAGGCAGUGGCUAGCAAGUGGAAGGCAAUUUGCCGCAAGU
rfam:Ornithorhynchus anatinus chromosome X5, whole genome shotgun sequence.